GGAAAAGGUAAAGUAAAAGUAGUAAAAUGUAAUCAUUUUCAAUGGAGGGAUAGUGUCUUCUGUUUUUUCUACGGUCUAACUAGCUAUAUCUAUAAGAAAUGGAGAACAGGGAGCUGGCUGAAUUAGCAAAAUACAAAAAGAUUAAAGAACUGACAAUUUUAGAGUCAGAACUGAAAAGUUUGAAGACAGGCGCUAAAGUCUAUCAAAAGCAAACUAACAGUGAUAUUUUAUUUUUAUCAAAUAAAGACAAGGAACUGGCUAAAGUAACAGAAAAAUUAGGCAAGUUAAAGAAAGCAUCUUGAGAUUGACCAGAAUAAAGUGAUUAUAAGUAUAUAUUAUUAUAAAAAGACUAUUAGAGAAGGUUUGGAAUUACAAGCUUAAUUGUAUAUAAGAGUUUUAGUUUGUGUUGGGAAAACAUUAAUAAUAUCCAUUUAAAAAAACAAGAACAAUAUGUUCCUGGUAGAAUGCCAGGCAUCAGAGGAACUGUGAAUUUCUUCCAGUCAAUAAGUAUCAUUGGUUUUGUAUGUCCAUGAAUAGAACUUGGUUAUUCACUUUGAUAUUUAGAUGUUCUAUUGUAUCUGAUAUGGGUUGAAUAUAAUAUAUUACUUUCAUGAAACCA